UGGGGAAUAUUGCACAAUGGGCGCAAGCCUGAUGCAGCCAUGCCGCGUGUAUGAAGAAGGCCUUCGGGUUGUAAAGUACUUUCAGCGGGGAGGAAGGGAGUAAAGUUAAUACCUUUGCUCAUUGACGUUACCCGCAGAAGAAGCACCGGCUAACUCCGUGCCAGCAGCCGCGGUAAUACGGAGGGUGCAAGCGUUAAUCGGAAUUACUGGGCGUAAAGCGCACGCAGGCGGUUUGUUAAGUCAGAUGUGAAAUCCCCGGGCUCAACCUGGGAACUGCAUCUGAUACUGGCAAGCUUGAGUCUCGUAGAGGGGGGUAGAAUUCCAGGUGUAGCGGUGAAAUGCGUAGAGAUCUGGGGGAAUACCGGUGGCGAAGGCGGCCCCCUGGACGAAGACUGACGCUCAGGUGCGAAAGCGUGGGGAGCAAACAGG
rnacentral:rRNA from 2 species